CCUACGGGGGGCUGCAGUGAGGAAUAUUGGUCAAUGGACGAGAGUCUGAACCAGCCAAGUAGCGUGAAGGAUGACUGCCCUAUGGGUUGUAAACUUCUUUUAUAUGGGAAUAAAACGUUCCACGUGUGGGAUUUUGUAUGUACCAUAUGAAUAAGGAUCGGCUAACUCCGUGCCAGCAGCAGCGGUAAUACGGAGGAUCCGAGCGUUAUCCGGAUUUAUUGGGUUUAAAGGGAGCGUAGGUGGAUUGUUAAGUCAGUUGUGAAAGUUUGCGGCUCAACCGUAAAAUUGCAGUUGAAACUGGCAGUCUUGAGUACAGUAGAGGUGGGCGGAAUUCGUGGUGUAGCGGUGAAAUGCUUAGAUAUCACGAAGAACUCCGAUUGCGAAGGCAGUUCACUGGACUGCAACUGACACUGAGGCUCGAAAGUGUGGGUAUCAAACAGGAUUAGAUACCCUUGUAGUUC
rnacentral:rRNA from 1 species